GUUAUUUCACAUUAUAGUGAGACCUGUACAGUCAGAUCUUUUAGACAUUUUGGAACAAAUAUACCUUUAAAAUAGUUGAAUAUUAACUUUAUUUCAAUAAUAAUUAACUCUGUGAUUUUAUGAGUCCACUCUCUCCUCCUUGGUUUAAUUAUAGGAUGUUUUUAAAUCAUUUAAUAAAAAUACAUAUUUUUGCUAUUUCAUGGUGUUUCAUUUUUUUACACCUCUCCAUGGCUGUUUUUAUUUCCUUAGGAUAUAAUGAUGUUUGUAUUUAAUGGUAAAACACUAUUAAACAAACUACUCUGUGGGUGAAAACACAUUUCUUAUCGAAAUAAUAUGAGGUUCUCAACCUAAAGCCAAUUUCAAUAAAGGUAGCCGUGUCUCCUUCCAAAUGUAAGCAUCUCACACACCCAUGCAGUUUGGAUCAACGGCAGAGGAACUCCUGUUGCAAUAUACCUGUUUUAAUAGGCUACACUUCAUGGGAUUUCAUAACGCUUUUAAUAAUGGACUCCGUGUUUAGUUUUGUCAAUUAAACUUGUCAGAUUCUAGCAGAACCCAUGUAUCAGGUUUCAGCACGGAUACCCAUGUCUUAUCCUGUUGCUUUUAAGUCCCUUGUGUGGUAACCAUGUCAUUAUAAUUUAAUGUAACAUAAUCGAAUAUGUAGAACGUUCUGUUAACUAUUCUCCUGUGUAAAAUAAGACCUAUUGGAUGUCGCCUACUAUUCGAUUAACUGAGAAAAAACACGUAUUUGCAAGAACAUAGACCUUACUUCUUCAUGCGACUUGUCAUGCAUAGGCCUAUAUAUCCUACUAUUAGGCUAAAGCAUACAUCGCAAACCAAUACAGCCCACUCGCAACAAACCCUCAUUAACAUUCAGCAGCUCGGCCUAUUUUAUUUGACUAAUCCAGCAAUCACAUUUCGCCGCAGUUAUGUGCACUCACCAUUGAUCCGCAAGUGUAGGUCGACAACUUGGUACACCGUCCAACAUCGUCUUUCCAGUGUCUCCCCGUCAAGGUGCGAGGUAAGGAAGAAAAGGCUCUCCUUCCAGAAGCAGCACUCAAACAAGGAGACGUGACAAAAGCCACAGAGACGCCAAAAACGUGUUGAAGGAGCUACAGAGUUUAAUGGCUGUGAGUGGAGGAAGGGGGCCCCAGUGAACCGUACGAAGCUCCGCAUAACACUGAGCUCUAUGAAUGGCUGCCAAUAAGGAAGGAGUUUCUCAAAAAAAGGACCAUCUCAAAGCAUGUCUUGAGUCAUGCCAGAAAGCAUGAGAGUGACCCACUGUGGUCAGAUGAGACCAAGACUUUCCUUUUUGGCCAAACCUGAAACCGCUUUGUGUGGCACCAAACACUGCCCACACACCAUCCCAAACGUUAAGUUAGAUGGUGGCAGGAUCAUGUAGUGAGGUUGCUUCUGAUCAGCAAGGACUGGGCAUCCUGUUAAAAUAUUUAAAAAUAUAUAAUAAUAUGAAUAUAUCAAUAUUGCUUAUUAAUAAAACAAAACCUGGUCUGAUAUCUUUAUCUGAGUGUCUUGCAUAGAUUUUUUUACGUAUUUAUGCAAGCGGUAAGCUGUGCCGUGUAGCUUAGGUCCAGAUGAACAUGUAAUAGGAAAGUGAGGAGAGAAAAAUAAACUGCCAUACCUUGUAUGGCUCAUUAUUAUCUGGACGUGUAUGUGGACCACUGGAACUGUCU
ensembl:lncRNA